rnacentral:rRNA from 1 species
GACGAACGCUGGCGGCGUGCUUAACACAUGCAAGUCGAACGGUGAACCUGCUUCGGUGGGGGAUCAGUGGCGAACGGGUGAGUAACACGUGGGCAACCUGCCCUCAGCUCUGGGAUAACUCCAAGAAAUUGGGGCGUAAUACCGGAUAUGACCGCUGACCGCAUGGUCUGGUGGUGGAAAGAUUUAUCGGCUGGGGAUGGGCCCGCGGCCUAUCAGCUUGUUGGUGGGGUAGUGGCCUACCAAGGCGACGACGGGUAGCCGGCCUGAGAGGGUGACCGGCCACACUGGGACUGAGACACGGCCCAGACUCCCACGGGAGGCAGCAGUGGGGAAUAUUGCGCAAUGGGCGAAAGCCUGACGCAGCGACGCCGCGUGGGGAUGAC